rnacentral:lncRNA from 1 species
UGAUCAUCACGAAGAGUUGCCAUAUUUGCCUCCUUUCAACACACCCCUGGUGCAAAAGUAAGUGCGAUUCUUUUAUCACAGAUCUCUGUCUGUAACCUCGUUGUCCAUUCUUGCCAUUGGAAUCAUGCACGCAGCUGCGGUAACAUUCAGGACGCGUGUUGGUCGUCACGUGAAGUCACGGCUUUAGAGGGUGACCAUUGUUCGUUGCCCCGGGAUACCUCCCAGGUGACAGCUGGGUCGGAGUGUUUACCAUGUCCAUUUUGAGGCCAUCUGUUCGCGACCUCGGUGAUCAAACUUCGUGUCCGGUUGAUAGGUCAGCACGGAGGAGAAUAAGGAUGCUGUUUCUAUAGCAACGGCUGUAUCCAGAAUCAAUAUGUCUCUCCCGCAGUGCAGUUUUAUCUGGCUGGCCAGAAAUAGAAACAUCUCGGAACUCUCGAUAUGCUGAAUAACGAUAUGUUAAGAAAACACAAAGCCUAAUUACAAUAACGAUCGAAGCGUUCGUCCGUAUUAUGAGGAAACUAAAUAAAAUCGAAAAGUGAACAAUGCAAAUAAUGCUGCAAAUCAAUGUGAGUCAUGGGUCCAGCUGAUGGAAGUGACUGAGGAGCACAGAUCCGAUGAUUCACGACUGACUUAAUCACAAUCUCUUCUCUCUCCCCGUUCCUGAUUAGGAUAACGUCACGACAUUCGGAUGUAAUUCGGCAUCCCAUUGGAUUUGCUUACGCGUGACGUAUAAUUAUACACUCCCCAUCGAUUAAACUAGAGAGGAUGGGCGCAAAAAACUGAUUAUAGAAUGCUUUUUCAUCUUCCGAUUGUUAUUUUUUUCUUUUAGUAAUUUAUGGGUUAUGAAGCCGAGAGGAACUUUUAGCUUAUGGUAAAUGAAUGAUUAAUAGCCAUACUAAAUGGCAUACCUAUCCACAAGAAAGCCGCUUUCUCAUCUGAUCGAUUUUAGUCAUUCGCAUCCCAAUAGGAGUCUAACUGAUCGACUAGUCGCUUCAGUUCAGCAUUGGGCAACGAGCCAGCACUGUAUCCACUUUGUUGUCGUUGGCGGUCAGAAUAAAACUAAUCUUUAAGAUUUUGAGCCAUACCAUUAUCCCAGUUAGUCGUAUGGUUAGUAGAAUUACCAGAUUAUUUUAUAUUUAAAAGAGAAAAAAUAACGCCAGAUGGACACUCGGAUGGAAAUUUUUAAUAAGCAAUAAAUCUUGUAUAUAUGCGACAUCAGUGUUUUCAUUCUUAUUGUGCAUUGGCUAGUUAGGGAAGUUACAAGAUCGUAAAAGUGUCAUCGCCGCGCCGCUUGUCUCGAGACGUUAAUCGCUACAUUUGUCAUCCUCGGCAUCGCCACCGUCUUUAAUAAUUUGUGCUAGGAUGACGCAUUUGUUUUAUAUUGGCCUUCGGUAGCAUUGUUGCCAGAGAUUUUAAAAUGAUUCACGCAUUUGACCGAUAUGACGUUAACGCGAAAUAGCGCUUGAUGAUUAGCUCACACAUGAAAGGUUAUCGAUUUAAAGAACGGUUUUCCGUUUUAUCCCAAAUCGCCAUUGUUGACAAGGAAAGCACUUGUGACAAUUAUCGAAUUGUCCGCUGUAUUGCAAAAGACGCAAUUGGUGACAAUUUCCUCAUUUGUGGAGGGCGUACAGUUUGUGUUGCUGCGCAUCUUUUACGGUUAAGGGAUCACGUGACAACCACUGAAGUGGCUGUGGUCUGGCCCGUUUCGGAUCGUAUUUAGUCGAUUAGUAUCAUUAGUCUUCAUUACGCUACUCUUUGUUCAACCAUUUAAAUGAUUUCGGUUACAUUAAAUUUGUUAUUAUUAUGAAGAAUAAUUAAAUUAGGUUCCAUAGAAAUUAUUCUCCUAGUUGACAGUUAAGAUUAGUCAAAUUUAAAUGAAUUCAAUAUCUUAACUAAUAACCGUGGAUUACUCUAGUCUUGAGAGCUGUGAGAACAACUAAACACGAGAUCUGCAGUUGUCAAUUUCGUAGGGCUCAAUAAAUGUCUGUGUUACUUCCCUCUUCGGUGCCCCUUACGGAGCGGGAAAAGGGCACCGGAAAUGACAGAAUAGAGCAAAGAAGCGCGACCUGUUAUGGCUAGCCAAAGAAGGAAGAGAAAAACCUUGCAAAAUGCAAAUCCUUAGGAAAUAAAAUCCAUUAGUUUUUUUUGCGGAAUUCACGUUUUAAAAUGGACAUCCGGUCGAUAUUAAUCGGAGAAUAAGACGACGAAAUUAAAUUUGAGAAGUCAGUAGACGGUCGCGCAGAUAAAAAAAAAAAAAAAAAAAGCGGUCGAAGGGGCGUUGUUGCCCUUUUCUCCGGUUUCCGGUGCAAUCUUUUGUUUCCUAGGUAAAGUCACGUGGUAUCUUGUCACGUGGUCGAGCCGACAAAUUUCAAGACGGGAUGUGGAGUUCAAGGUCUGCAGGUAAAAAUGACUUCCUUUUAUAACAUUUAUGUGGCAUUUCGAUAACGCCCUUCACUAUAUUCAUUUAUUAUUUUUUUAAAUUACGCGAACCAAUUUUACGUAAAAAAAAAUAACAUUCAUAAACAAGUCAUAUACUGCAUCCGAAUUAGCUAUACUGUACUCAUGACUGAACUAUAUUUGAAUAAUUUUGAUGUAAGUCGCCAUCUAACGUGUAUAACUGGAACUAAACUGUUCAAAAAAGGUUAGUUUUAAUAAUCACCAACAGAUGGCAAUAUAGUAGAGCUUUAUUAUUUGAGAAUGAUUAUUUUUAAAAUUAAGUUUUAAAAUAAUAUCGCAGAACGUAACAGCUGUUACAGUAUAGCGAUACAUUUCUUGUUUUUUUUUACCAUUAAAAGAUAAC